rnacentral:rRNA from 1 species
UACGUAGGGUGCAAGCGUUGUCCGGAAUUAUUGGGCGUAAAGGGCUCGUAGGCGGAUCUUUAAGUCAGGGGUGAAAUCCUGGAGCUCAACUCCAGAACUGCCUUUGAUACUGGGGAUCUCGAGUCCGGAAGAGGUGAGUGGAACUCCGAGUGUAGAGGUGAAAUUCGUAGGUAUUCGGAAGAACACCAGUGGCGAAGGCGGCUCACUGGUCCGGUACUGACGCUGAGGUGCGAAAGCGUGGGGAGCAAACAGG